rnacentral:rRNA from 1 species
CCUACGGGGGGCUGCAGUGGGGAAUUUUGGACAAUGGGCGCAAGCCUGAUCCAGCCAUUCCGCGUGAGUGAAGAAGGCCUUCGGGUUGUAAAGCUCUUUCGGCCGGGAAGAAAUCGCACGGGUUAAUACCCUGUGUGGAUGACGGUACUGGAAGAAGAAGCACCGGCUAACUACGUGCCAGCAGCCGAGGUAAUACGUACGGUGCGAGCGUUAAUCGGAAUUACGGGGCCUGUUGCGUGCGCCGGCUGUGAAAUCCCCGGGCUUAACCUGGGAACUGCGGUUGUGACUGCAAGACUUGAGUGCGGCAGAGGGGGGUGGAAUUCCACGUGUAGCAGUGAAAUGCGUAGAGAUGUGGAGGAACACCGAUGGCGAAGGCAGCCCCCUGGGUCGACACUGACGCUCAUGCACGAAAGCGUGGGGAGCAAACAGGAUUAGAUACCCCGGUAGUC